ncrna:unclassified sequences dinG RNA
AAUGAGACUUCCCCGAACCUAACUAAUACGGGGGCUGCGGUAGUAGGAGUAACUCGCAGCGGAAGCAUCGCACCGGCUGAAAAAGGCCGGAGAGAGCUUUC